rnacentral:rRNA from 2 species
AAAACGACUCUCGGCAACGGAUAUCUCGGCUCUCGCAUCGAUGAAGAACGUAGCGAAAUGCGAUACUUGGUGUGAAUUGCAGAAUCCCGUGAACCAUCGAGUCUUUGAACGCAAGUUGCGCCCGAAGCCUUCCGGCCGAGGGCACGUCUGCCUGGGCGUCACGC